rnacentral:rRNA from 1 species
UGCUUGGGAAUAUGCCUUUUGGUGGGGACCAACAGUUGGAAACGACUGCUAAUACCGCAUAAUGUCUACGGACCAAAGUGGGGGGAACCUUCGGGCCUCAUGCCAAGAGAUUAGCCCAAGUGAGAUUAGCUAGUUGGUAAGGUAAAGGCCUACCAAGGCGACGAUCCGUAGCUGGUCUGAGAGGAUGAUCAGCCACACUGGGACUGAGACACGGCCCAGACUCCUACGGGAGGCAGCAGUGGGGAAUAUUGCGCAAUGGGGGCAACCCUGACGCAGCCAUGCCGCGUGUGUGAAGAAGGC